UCUGAGUCAGAGCAGCUUCUUCCAAGUAACAAGGAGAUGGGAAGGCCUGUCUCUUUCCAAGAAAAGUCUCCUCAAAAUGUCUAGGGAAUCUGUACCGUUCCCCCUGGCUGUGCCUGCUGGAGUUCCAGUGGCUAUGGAGAGGCACGUCUCACCUGGUGGUGAGAGAGGGCCUGCAUACUGAACCCCUCAUCCUCAGAACUACCCCAAAGGAAUUAUUUAAAUGAAGAUAAACAAAAAGUAAUUGAGUUAAGGACCUGAGCAAUGCCAGAUAUAUUGAGCACCAAUUUGAUCUCCCCUGUAAAUCGAGAGCCACUCUACUGAAAGCAGAGGUAGGAGAGAUGAAAUGAGCCCGGAAAACAGACAUGGAGGAUUCAGCAACAUCCUUGCCUAGGGAAGAACUAAACCUUGGAAUAACAAAUAUGUGUAUCCUUUUGCCACAUCACAAACAAAUGCUGAGAACUUUUCACCAUCAAGACUGCAUACAAACACCUUUAACUAAUUCUCAUGUAAUGAUUUGGAGUGAUCUAUGUACGAUUUAUGAAUUUUGGUUGAUUUUUAUGAAAUUCCUAUGUUAAUGAAUGCGCCUUCCAAAAGGGCAGUUCUAGCCAGUGUGGGUUUCUCCCCCCACACAGAGGAUCUCCUAACAUCUAUAAAAAUGCCUAAAAAGGCUAGUGUCUAUGACAGACAACUUCAUAUUGUGGAGGUGUUCUUACUAAAAGUGAGGCUAUGAAGAAUGAGUAUCUGGUGCCUUUAAAAAAAACAGAAAGCUCAGGGAAAGUAGGGCCCGUUCUCCUAAGUGGGCAGUCUACCUAGAAGGAAAACUCUUAUUCAAACCCCAUCUAUGUUUUGAAACCUGGCAUUAUGUAAAGGCAACACUAAUAUCUCCUGUUGAUGGUCCACGAGGUCUUUGGCAAGAAGGUGGGAAGAGAGUGAGCAAGUACUUAGUCUAACUGGGGGAAAACCCUCGACCAACACACCAUAGUAUUUGGCACAUGAUGACUAUUCUGGCACAAGCAGUUUUCUUCUUUUUGUAGUAAAUUACCAAAGGGAUGUACCUACUGGUUAGAGUGGAAAGUGAGACUGGCCAGUAUGCUUUUCCACAAAGGAUGAUUGCUAUUGGAGGGAGUAUGUUUCCGGUCUAUACCAGAAAUUUACCUGCCUUAAAUCUGGCAGCCACUGGCUAACAGGAUUUCUGGCACUCGGCAACUAAACUGAGGCAUGUGAAUGGUUAACUGGUUUACCGGUUACAAUUAAUGGGAGGAGCUAGAGCAGCCCCCAUCUGCAGUGGGCCCAGCCAGCAGAGCAGCCCCCUGUCUGGGGCAGACUCAGUGGCUGCAGGCGGGGGCACUCCAGCCCAGCUGUGGAGGGUGGGGUUGCUGCUUCAGCCCCACUGGGCUGGAGCAGCCUCCCUCCCCCACACCUGCUCCUGUUAAGCAGGAUGAAGGUGAAGUGAGGAAGCAAUGGGAUCUGGUGGAGAUAGCACAGGAGAAAAGGGAGGUAGGAAAGAGACCCUGGGGGAAAGCUGAGCAAGUCUCAAGUGGAUUGCAUGAAAGAAGAUGAUAAACAGGUGGACCUUUAUGUCACUUCAAACAGAUGUAGGUGGCUGAUGCUUGCACAACAACCCAAUCCUGGUUGAUGGGCUAAGGGGAUGAAGCAGCACGAGCUGUACCAUUGAAUACUUCAGUGGAUGCAGAGUCCGCUAUAUGCUAUCAAGGUUGGUGUUACAUCCCUUCCAAACUAGGAACAAUGGAGAUUUAUUAACAGGAUUAGUUCCCAUUCAGAUGAGAGCACUUCAAAACAAUGUUAUGGCUGAAGUCUGGGAGAUCCAGUCGGACAUGACUUGCCUGCAGGGACCAGGGAGCUGAGCAGCAGAAUUUCCAUAGAGGGAGAACAAAGUGACUGAGGUGUAGAUUCAACUUUUAAAAAAUACAGAGGGACUCUAUGAGAGACAGGGAGAAACAGAGGGACUUUUAAGAGGGAAGGGGGACCUGUUGACUGUGUGACCAACCAAAGCUGAAGAAAAAGGAUUGCAAAGUCAGAGAGACUCCAUGAUUUGAAGGAGAAGCCAUGAACUGGAAGAGUAUGGCUAGCAGAGUGAACCUGGAAUUCUGAAAGGACACCAACCCACAGCCCAAAGAAAUCUUAAAAGUGUUGAGGAAAUAACAUAGGGUAUGUCUACACUACCCCGCUAGU